AAUAAAAUAAUAUUAUAUAAUUAUAACAUAAUGGGUAAGGUUGUAAUUUUACCCUUUUCUCAAAUAAAACCCUAAACUUAAUACAAGUCUAUUUAAAAGAGGUUAAUCAAUUCUAAUAGGGUUCAAACAAAAAUAAAAUUUAGCCGUCAUUGAGAGAAAUGAAAAUUUGUAGUCCAUGAUUUUUGGUGAAUUCUAUCUCUACAGCUUCUAAGGAGACACAUAUAAUAUAGACCGCCGAGUAGAAUCCUCAUUUAAUUAGAUUAUUACGCGAUCGAGGAUAUAGAUAGCAGUGACUCAUCCAUCUAGAUUCGUGCAAUCAAUCACUUGGCUUGGUUAGAUGGGGUCAACAGUGUCAUCGGAGUUUCGAUUUUUAUUUUAAAUUCAAGUUUAAAUCUAUACGAUAAAUUAAAUUUUAUUUUUGAAAUUAGCAUUUGGUUUCUGAUUUAAAACUGACAUUUGUAAAUUUAAUGAAUAUGUAUUAUUUUGAGAUCGUUAAUAAAUGUUUGAACUGGAAAUUUUAUGAGAUUAAAUUUGAAUUGGGUUUUUAAGUUAAUUUUUAAUAUAAAUUCAAGAGGGGUGCUACAUUUAAUGGUAUCAGAGCGGGUAUACGUUUCAGGUUACCCGACAUGUUUUUAAAGAGAGUUAUUAAAGGAUGAUGUUUUAUAAUGAACCUGUUGACCCGAUAGUUAGUAUGGAUGAGUCAGUAGAGUCGGUAGAGUUAGUUUCGUUUCAUAACAGUCUCUAGUUAUAUUAUUGUCAUUAUGAUAGGUUCUUUUAUUGUGUUUGU